UACAGAGGGGGCAAGCGUUAUUCGGAAUUAUUGGGCGUAAAGGGCGCGUAGGCGGCUUUUCAAGUGACGGGUGAAAUCCCUCGGCUUAACCGAGGAACUGCCUGUCAGACUGGAAGGCUUGAGACCGGGAGAGGUGAGUGGAAUUCCCAGUGUAGCAGUGAAAUGCGUAGAUAUUGGGAGGAACACCAGUGGCGAAGGCGGCUCACUGGACCGGUACUGACGCUGAGGCGCGAAAGCGUGGGGAGCAAACAGG
rnacentral:rRNA from 1 species